GAAAAAGGCACGCGGGUCAACGGAUACCUAUAAAACGAUAGAGACAAGAGGGGAAUAUACGAGACGCCGCGCCGCGUGGAAGGAUCGUGAACUCGCGGCAAACCAGAAGAGUAUUCGGGAACGAGGAGAACGAGAAGAACGAGAUGCCGGCGCGAGGAAAGGCAAACGAGGCAACGCGAUAAAGAACGAAUCAACCAGGUAGAAAGACAGGGAUGCCGCGGUGAAGUUGCGAGAGAGCCGGCCAAACGAGAAGACCGACCAAAGAAGGAGAGGGAGAAGAAGAGAACGAUAGAAGACGGAUGUAUAUAGGUAGGAGGACAGGUAGUCGGCUCGAGGAAAGAAGAGACCGAGCGAAGAGCACACGGGGGAAAGAAGAGACGAAAGAAAAGGGAGGAUCCGCGAGGGGGAGUGGAGCGAGUGGGGACACCAUCGACACGUGCAUGCCAUUAUCUGCACCGGGAAAUAGUGGAUUUUCGAUCGAGAGGGAGACGCUCGCUCGUAUAAACAGCCGUUAACGAUCGAUCCGUAUGUUUACCGAUUUUUACGAUCUCGAGAAUAGAAGGCCCGACAUUGUCGGAUGAAUAGGCCGGCAGCAAAGAAGGUUUUCGAUUCUCGACGGUUUGAUUGGCUGGCACGACUAAAUUUGCAAGUAUUUCGACACUCGAAGCGACAAGAAGAUCUUGGCGCGGACAUUUUCUUUGGUUAUCUAGCUGUAUGAGUAUUAUUCGACAUCAUAAAGCUAGGUUACCGGAGUUAAGCUCCUCGCCAUAUCAACUCCACGGAUUCUUCUUCCCCGUUUCGAUUUGCUACUCAAGUAACCGUAAACCGAUGGAUGUAAAAAUUAAUGAAAUCAUUAAAUAUAUGUAACUAUAAGUAUUAAAAAAAACCAUAUAUAUAUAUAUAUAUA
rnacentral:misc_RNA from 1 species